rnacentral:lncRNA from 1 species
UCCAGUUUCCUCACAUCCUUCUAUUAUUGAGGCAGCUCAGAACCCGUACCUCUCAGAACCCCCCCCCCCCCCCCCCCCCUUUGUCACACCUUGCUUCCCUCCAUUCACCUCAUCAUUUCCAAUUUUUUUCGUUUUCAGUUUUAUUUUGAAAGGACUUAGGUUGUCAUGUUUUGGUUCUAGUUCCUGUCUUACUUUUGUGGACUUCCUGUUUUCACCCAGAGCACACGUUUUGUUAUCUCCGGUUCAUUAAGCACACCUGCCAGUUGUUAGCAAUCAAACCCGGUAUUUAAGAUCCACCUCCUCCAGCACUCCGUUGCCAGAUUGACGAGUCUUAGUACCACAUUCCAGCGUUCUAGUAUAGUCAUCUUGUUUUCUGAUCACGUCCGUCAUUGACCUCUGAUUCCUGCCUGUUCCACAUCUGUACCUUCGCUUGGAUCCAGUGGUAACAUUCUGACCGUCUGACCUCGAGUUUUUGCCUAGCCCUAGUCUGUACCUCUGCCAAGUUAACCUGUGUACCGAACCCCUGCCUGUUUACUGGAUCUGAUCUUGCCUGCUCCUUUGUACUAGAAGAAUUGAGACUCUGUGUAUGACCCGGACUGCCGGACUACGCCGAUACAAUAAACACUGUUUACUCAUCAAGCCCUCGAGUGUACUGUGCACGUGGGUCCGACAUCUGCCGAAGUCUGACAGUUUCCAUCCUCGCCAUCAUUCCUCCACCUCACAGAUCGCUUUCACUCUGCAUCGCAAAAAGAGCAAUGGACAUGCACAGCAGAAGCACUUACUUGAAUGGAACGUUCCUCAGAUUACACUGCAGAAGCUGCUCGUGCCGGUGUCUCGAUGACCCUGCAUCUGUUUUACUCAGUCCACAUGCAUCUCUCCACCGCUCCUUUCAUUUCUCUCCCCGGUUCUACCGACGCAGACGACUGACGACUGGCUUCAAACGCGCAGAAAGCUUGUUGUAGGAGACUCGACGUGGACCGAGCUGCCUCCUCUCACUCGCAAUUAAUUCCGCCUGGAACAAAGACCCGACCCGAGGGCCGCAUUUGCUCAGGUUUCAACCGUGAUGUCAUAAUCUGGCUGUGGCCACAGUCGCGUAACUCUGCCAAACAGUAAAGAAGUCUGGGAAGGAGGCCUCGCUGCAUCUGCUGC